rnacentral:rRNA from 1 species
CAGUCGCCGCGGGAAAACGAAGGGGGCUAGCGUUGUUCGGAAUUACUGGGCGUAAAGCGCACGUAGGCGGAUAUUUAAGUCAGGGGUGAAAUCCCGCAGCUCAACUGCGGAACUGCCUUUGAUACUGGGUAUCUUGAGUAUGGAAGAGGUUAGUGGAAUUGCGAGUGUAGAGGUGAAAUUCGUAGAUAUUCGCAGGAACACCAGUGGCGAAGGCGGCUAACUGGUCCAUAACUGACGCUGAGGUGCGAAAGCGUGGGGAGCAAACAGGAUUAGAUACCCCAGUAGUCCCUGUCUCUUAUAC